AACUGCUCUUGGCAGUUGGGCAUUCAGCUCAACUGCUCCUUGAGCCUGUAUCUCCCUUCAUGUAACUUUCUUUUUUUCUUUUUAAAAAGAUUUAUCUAUUUAUGCAUAUAAGAACUGGGGUACAGGCCAGAGGUGUGGUGAGGAGCGGGGCUGCCCCUCUCCCUGUCCUAUACUACAAGGGGACUCACCAAAGACAGAAUAGGGAGCAGAACAGGCAGACUGAACGAUAUACACUGCUGAGGGGAGCAGUGGAUGAGACAGGAGAGGUCUGCUGUGCCAUUUUCCCCUCAGGGCAUGUCCACCACAGGAGUCCAGUCCACCAGCCUGGGCAGCGCCAGUGAAGGGUAGGAGCUGGUGAGUCUGUAACAGGGUGGUCCCCAGGAAAGGGGGAAGUUCCAGGUUCCCUGCCCCACCCAGGGGAGGGUGGAGCUGAGCAGCAAGAGGAGAAGCUGCAGAAGAGACUGAGGAAGGAAGAAAGCAGGAUGGAGCCAGGAGACCUGGAGGAGGCACAUGGAGCCUAGAGACACGUGAAGAAACUGUGCUUGUCUUUUGGUCGUGGACUGGGUGACACAGAUCUCCUCUCUGCUCUGUAUGGCCUCUCAUCCCUGAGGCCAUUCCAGCCUGUGCUCAUGGAUGCUGGACCAGCUUUCAAGAGAUCCCGUGGGAGCUGACUUGGCUACCAUCUGUGCUGCCACAUUUUCUUCGCCAGAACAACUCACCAGGCCAGUUUAGAUGCAAGAGGAGGGCAAAUUGACUCUAUCUUUAGCUGGAAGGAGCUGCAAGGAUCAUAGCCUCUUUCGUAAUUUACUGCAGUCUCUAUGCAGCCGAUGAGGAGCCAGGGCUCAGAGUGAUAAAGUCACUUGCCCAAGUCACUUGCCCAAGACCACAACUGCAGAGACUUAGUCAUGUCUGUUAAACUUGAUGGCUGUUAUGGUAGAAAAUACAAGAAAAGCAAAUAAAGUCACUAUGAUGACAGGCCGUGGAGGU